GUGGGGAAUCUUGCGCAAUGGGCGAAAGCCUGACGCAGCCAUGCCGCGUGAAUGAUGAAGGUCUUAGGAUUGUAAAAUUCUUUCACCGGGGACGAUAAUGACGGUACCCGGAGAAGAAGCCCCGGCUAACUUCGUGCCAGCAGCCGCGGUAAGACGAAGGGGGCUAGCGUUGUUCGGAAUUACUGGGCGUAAAGCGAGUGUAGGUGGUUGUCAUAGUCAGGUGUGAAAGCCUUGAGCUCAACUCAAGAAAUGCACUUGAUACUGGGCGACUAGAGGACCGGAGAGGAUAGUGGAAUUCCCAGUGUAGUGGUGAAAUACGUAGAGAUUGGGAAGAACACCAGUGGCGAAGGCGGCUAUCUGGACGGUUACUGACACUAAGACUCGAAAGCGUGGGGAGCAAACAGGAUUAGAAACCCCUGUAGUCC
rnacentral:rRNA from 1 species